rnacentral:rRNA from 1 species
GCUAGAUGGUGAGGUAACGGCUCACCAUGGCAAUGAUGUCUAGGGGUUCUGAGAGGAAGGCCCCCCACACUGGGACUGAGACACGGCCCAGACUCCUACGGGAGGCAGCAGUGAGGAAUAUUGGACAAUGGAUGGAAAUCUGAUCCAGCCAUGCCGCGUGCAGGAAGACAGCCCUAUGGGUUGUAAACUGCUUUUAUAUGGGAGCAAUAAGGUCUACGUGUAGACUGAUGAGAGUACCAUAUGAAUAAGCAUCGGCUAACUCCGUGCCAGCAGCCGCGGUAAUACGGAGGAUGCGAGCGUUAUCCGGAUUUAUUGGGUUUAAAGGGUGCGUAGGCGGCCGAGUAAGUCAGCGGUGAAAUUUUGCAGCUUAACUGUAACAGUGCCGUUGAUACUGCAUGGCUAGGAUUUGGUUGCUGUGGGUGGAAUGUGUGGUGUAGCGGUGAAAUGCUUAGAUAUCACACAGAAUAUCAAUUGCGAAGGCAGCUCACAAAGCCAAGAUUGACGCUGAGGCACGAAAGUGUGGGGAUCAAACAGGAUUAGAUACCCUGGUAGUCCACACUGUAAACGAUGAUAACUCACUGCCGGCGAUACACAGUCGGUGGCCAA